GCCGGCAGGGGCUGUUCAGGAAUGGAGAGGAGAAUGUCCCUCCUGUCCUUUCUGAGAGCGUGCAGCGGCCUGCAAGCACCCACUAGAAAGGCUCUCCUUGCCCCCUUGAUGGAGUGAGCAGCCAUCUUGAAGAAUCUCACACAGGAGCCUCUAGGACCUGAGGGUGGCCUGCAGCCAACAGCCAGCAAAAAGCCAGAGUCUGUAGUUCUGCAGCCACAAAGAAAGUCUGCCAAGAACCUGAAUGAGCUUGGAAGUGGGCUCUUCACCAUUCAAGUAUCCAGCCGAGAAUGCAGCUCAUCUGACAUCUUGAUUUGUACCUGUGAGGCCUUGAACAGAACACUGUUCAGUUCAGAAGAUGGGUGGAGUUCGCCAGAUGAGCAAGUGGCUGUGCCUGGACUCCUGACCUGUAGAACCUGUGACAUAAUAAAUGUGUGUUGUUUUAAGCUGC